rnacentral:rRNA from 1 species
AACGAACGCUGGCGGCGUGGCUAAGACAUGCAAGUCGAACGGACCGUUUAAUUGGGUAACUGAAAGAGCGGUCAGUGGCGAAAGGGUGAGGAAUAGAUAGGUAACGUACCCUGAACUUCGGGAUAGCGUCAUCUCGAGCAAUCGGGAUUUCCGAAAGGGGCAUUAAUACCGAAUGAUGUCGGCGGUUGCAGGACUGCCGAUCAAAGAUUGAUCGGUUUGGGAGCGGCCUAUCUCCUAUCAGCUAGUUGGUGAGGUAACGGCCCACCAAGGCGACGAUGGUUAGCUGGUCUGAGAGGAUGAUCAGCCACACUGGAACUGAGACACGGUCCAGACUCCUACGGGAGGCAGCAGUGAGGAAUAUUGCGCAAUGGGGGCAACCCUGACGCAGCAACGCCGCGUGAGUGAGGAAGGUUUUCGGACUGUAAAGCUCUGUCGAGCGGGAAGAAGUGUACCAUGGCUAAUAUCCAUGAUAUUGACGGUACGCUAGA